UACAGAGGGGGCAAGCGUUGUUCGGAAUUACUGGGCGUAAAGGGCGCGUAGGUGGCCUUCUAAGUUGAACGUGAAAUCCCUGGGCUCAACCCAGGAACUGCGUCCAAGACUGGGAGGCUUGAAUCCGGGAGAGGGAUGCGGAAUUCCAGGUGUAGCGGUGAAAUGCGUAGAUAUCUGGAGGAACACCGGUGGCGAAGGCGGCAUCCUGGACCGGUAUUGACACUGAGGCGCGAAAGCCGGGGGAGCAAACGGG
rnacentral:rRNA from 1 species